CAUCCAUCGUCUCUUUGACUUCACUCUCCGAUCCUCUCCAUCCCGUCGUGCCAUGGAGGCGGCCGUCGUCCUGUCCCCUCUCCGCGUCGCCCGCCACUCUUCCCACCUCCUCCCCCUCCUCGACGGCAUACUGCUCUGCCGCCCGUUCGCGCUCGCUCACCACCGCCAUCCCCUAGCCCCUGCAAAAAUUCCCCAUUCCAGCAGGCCUCUCCGGCCACCACUCUAGCACCGUGUUGGCCAGCGGCUGCGCCGUGCAGCUCCGCCCAAGAUUCGUCACCCAGGACGACGUGAUCCACCCGCACCUCACCGUCUGAUACUAUGAUUAUUUGGUACCGAAUACACUGGUUGCAUCUUGUGUUAUCUGGGAGUAAUCUGCAGUUUCACUAAUACACUGCAAUUCAUUGACUUCGUUUUAUUGCCCCUCCGCAAAAUAUCAUACUGGAACCAUGGAUUCAAAGGUGCAUCACAACAGUGUGGAGGUGUAUAAGUAUGUGCAUCACAAGCGUGACAAGACAAGAGGGUGCAGUGCGAGCUUGAUGAGAUGGACAAGGUGAGGUAGGAACGUGAAGCCGUGGACCUGGUGAUGAGGCGGGAGCGCAAGAAGAUGGACUCAAAGAUAAAAAGUAUCCAUGAAGAGACGGAAAGUUCAUCAGAGAUGGACUGGAAGGUGAUGCAAGAACGUGCGGCCAUGGAUCUGGCGCAGGAGUGUGAGAAAAUGGAGAAACGGGUCAAGAAGAUCCACAAGGACAUGAACGAGAAGUUGUAGCAGGAACGUGAUGACAUGGACCGUGCUAUAGAGUUGUUUGCCAAUUAGUGUUGAUUUUCAGGUGCUCAGCAGCUUGUGCCUAGGCUGGUUGCUUUUUUUCUGACAGCGGGGGCUAAGGGUGUGUAAAAAUCGAAACAGCUCAGACCCGGUUAGGAAUUUCGUAGUUCAAUCUCCUUCACAAAUAAAAUCCCAAAUCUGGAGCUAGUGCAAAAUAUUGAAGUAGCAGAAACCGGCCAAACUGCCCAACCGUUUUAGCACAGGCUUAGCGGGGGCUAAUGGCCCCCUUGUCGUUGGCCAUUUCUGUGCAGUUCAAAAUAAAUCAUAAGGCUGCCGGUCAUGCAAAUAAGA